AGUUCCUCCCCUGGGGGGAGGGGGGAGGGAGCUCUCUGGGGCUUCAUGUAAGGGCACUCAUCCCUAAUGACCUCCCAAACACCCCUCCUCCCAAUACUACCACCUUCGGGGUUAAGAUUUCAACAUGUAAAAUUGAGGGGGGGGACACAAAUGUUUAGUCUAUAGCGAUGUUGUUAACAAAAUGGAAUAUGUUGAAUGUGCAAGCGACCUCUCUAGUCCUUGUGCACCAGCCCUUCACAGAGCCUUCCAUUUAAGGCUCCAUGUUUGAUCACUCAUUGAUUCAUUGAACCAAGUGCCUACUGUGGCAUCAGCCUGGCUCAGGGCUGUGGAGAAAUCUGCCCUGGGUAUGAACCACGGUACCUCACAUUUUUGGGGAGGUGGCAAGGGGCAGAACAACAAAGGAGCAAGAUGAUACCAGUGCUCUGGAAGAGCCUGGGGGCAAGAGGAGGGACCUGGUUCAGAACCGCUGUUCCCAGCAGACCAGCCAGCAUGAGCCCAGAGUUCACCAUCAUCACAUCACACCAGUUGUCACCCACUGACUCAUUUCCUGGUGCUGAAUUAUGAGGCUCAGGAGAUUUUCCAAUACCCUCACUCAAUUCUGUAGAUGAGAAAGCCACAAUAUCCAGACUCUGAUUCAGAAACUUGGUGCCACACUUACCCUUUAGCUAUCUGCUUGCCCUCUCAAGUUUCUGGUCAGAUUUGUGGUUGGGGCCGGGGUACCUCAACAUUCCCAUCUUAUGUGCCCACUGGAAUGGUGUCUAGGUGAGAGAGUACCAGGGAUACCCUUCCCUGGAGGGCUGAACAUUCAGUUCCAAUGGCCUGGGCUACACACACCCAUCCUUCUUAAUUCAAACACCCUGCAUGGUGAAGUGUGUCAAACACUCAGAAUCAACACAAAAUGAAAUGUUUGACAAUGUGGCCUUGCCACAGAUGACAUCACAGAAACUUCCAUGAGUAGCCUUCAUUUCCUCUGGGUAGCAAGAAUACGCCCAAAGCUUCAUUCUGCAUCACAAGCAAGGUGGUCAUCCAGGCUCCUAUGGGCACCACCUCCUGGAACUAUAAUCAUAAACCCCAGUAAAACCCGGGGUUCUGAUAGGGGGCCCGAUCCCCUGAAGUCCGCCUCUUGAUGUGGUGGACAUUGACCAAGAGUGGCUGAGCUUUGUUAUUCUCUGAUUGCUUCUAUGGGUGUGGAUGCCUUUAAACUAUCCUCUUUCCUAUUUGGGGUCUCUGUUUAUCCUUCGAAAUGGCCUGGCUAACGACUCCUAUUUAACCUCCUGCUUUCCUUUCAGAAAAAUGAAUCCCAUAAAAAUCACUAGACUGGUGUCUGAGCAAACUCUUUGGUGUCAUAAAAUUUUGAUGUAGAGGUUUAGCAAACGUGACAGGACGUUUUUGCGUGCCCUUCCAAAGUGUGCAAACUAUUUUUGGUGUGUGGACAUUUACAGAAUAUUGCCAGAAAUGAGCUCCCCCCACACACUCCUUUGAAAGGGGAAGAAGUGAUGAGUCAGGCCACGAUGAAACAGGUUCUGAGUCAGAAGUCAUGGGUUCACCAAGUGAAGUAAUUCAAGAUAAUGUUCAGGCACAAAGUAUUGGAACAGAGACAACAAGGGCCAGGGGGAGUAUGGACACCCAGAAAAGGAAUGUGGGUUGUCAGUCACAUGGUAGUUGCUUCUACUCUGAGGAGGUGAAAGGGCGGACAGGAACCCUGCCUGUAGUAUACUUUGGUCAUCAUUUCAGUAGAGGAAACACCUGAGGUCAAGUACCAUGGUCCCAGGGGAGUCAUGUGACCAUACACGGGCGCUGGGUGGGGCUAUGGGAACGGGGUUCUUUUUAUUCCCCACAUCACCUGCAGGAUUUUGUGCCCUGCAUGAUGCAAUCGGGGAACAGCUACCGAGAAAUUUCUUCCCGAAUGGUGUCACGUACGCACAGACAUGGUGGUUCAAACAGUUGGCGUAAAACAAGCCCCAGAGCAUCCAAAAGGAGGAAUGAGAAUUGUCUCAAGAAAGUGUAGCUGACCCUCCCCCACCCAGAGAUGAGAGCCAGGAUUUGGGGGAAAGAAGAAAAUGACACUUAUUGUGGGUUCCAUGGGGGACAAGCCAGGAACAGGGCCAGACAUGUGCAGGGUCACGUCUGUGAGGAAAUAUGAACACUAGUCUAUGGUGGGCUCGCUAUGCACCAGGCUUAGCCAUUGACUGGCGUUUAAUCCUGCAUCAACCCAUUUUGCAGAUGGGGUGAAGCCAAGUCUUGGUGCUUGCCUAAGGAGGUAGGACCAGCAUUCAGACCCAGAGCCUCUGCUUCCCACACUGGGCUGGAUGCUUCAUAUUUACAAACAACUGCUCUCCUUGGGAGGUACUGUCUCCAUUCUCCAGGAAUGCAAACCGAGAAGGGUCCGGGAGUUUGUCCGAGGUCCCACAAGGACAGCGAGGGGGCUCAGAUUCACAUGCUGACUGGCUGACUCUGUCGUUCAUGCUCUUUCUGGGACACCUGUGCCUCCCUGGGGCAGCUGGCAUGCCCUGCCUGCUGUUCUCCGGUGAGGGACGGCUGGGUCUCCUGCUCAAAGGCAAGGCACCUAUUGGAGUGGAGGCCACCUUCACCACAGCUGUCUCCCUACCAUCUUCCGGAUCGCAGCAGGGCUGCGAGUCUGCAGAACUGGGUUGUCCUUACGCACAUGCAGCGUGUGGGUUUCCUGUUACUGCCUCCAUUUUCUCCAUUAUGCUUCAAAUUACAUGAUCUAUGUCGUGCUGUCUUGCCAUUGAUUCACUGGUUAAAUUAGCUGCUAUUUCUCUCCCCUGCAUUACAGGCUCCGAGUAAUUUGUUUAUGACUCAAAUGUUCUGUGGGCUCUGAAGGAAAGGCUAAUACGCAUUCAUUACAGCCUGACAUGAUCACUGUAAAUCACGAGGACUGCGGGUCCCAGCCAGUCUCCUGGUCUCCUUGGCACGGUAUUCCGUCUUCCACCUGACCAGGGCAGUGCUGCCGAGGCACGAAGUGUACCCAAAAUUCAUGGAAGGGGCGUGCAGAAGGCGGGCUAUUGAUGUGUAAAAUCUGUAGAACAGUCUCAAACCGGAGCCAAGAUUGUACGUCUUGUCCUCUGCAUGACCUUCGAAGAGCACCCAACCCAGGCCUCCUCCCUCACUCCCAGGCUCCCUGGGGAUCACCAUCUGUCUGAUGUCACAGAGAGCGUGUACAAGUAAAGGUGAGUGAGGAUGACUUCAUGGUCUUGCUGCUCAGGGUCUCACCCCCACCUAGGGCCUCAGGCCCCCAGGACAGACCUGGCCCAGGUUCUCAGACGUGAUGCUCAGGGCAUCAUCCCCGCCCCCCCACCCACGACACGCAUGACCCAGACUCUCUCUCAUGCUUUGUUGCUGUUCCCAUUUUGACUUCUCUCGAAGAGUCUUGUCCUCUGACCUGUCCACGGGGUCCCCACUGUCGGUACAGCCACGUCCACCCCAGAGCUCUGUUCCCCACUGGAUGGUGUGGUGCUCAAAAGAGUUUCCAGACCCGUGGUCCCUCUCUCAUCACACCUCGCCCUGGUGAAGUGUGGGGUCUUGUUCCCCACCCAGCGCCUUCGCAGACAGAAAUGGGAUGUGCGUGCCAAUGUGCACAUAUGGGACACUUCCUGGUCGCUUAUCCCACCAGUCUCUGCAAUGGGCUGAAUGUUUGUGUCCCUCUCAAAUUCAAAUGGUGAAGUCCUAACCCCCAAGGUGAUGGUGUGAGGAGGGGGGCCUUUGGGAGAUGAUUAGGUCCUGAGGGUGGGUCCCUCACGAAGGGAAUUAGUGCCCCCACAAAAAACCCCACAGAGCUCCCUCACCCUUCUGCCAUGUGAGGGCACAGAGCAAAGAUGCCAUUUAAUGAACCAGAAAGUGGGGUCUCUCCAGACACCGAAUCGGCCUGAGCCUCAUUCAUGGACUUCUGGCCUCCAGACUGUCAGCAGCCCUGUCAGACUCCAGAACAGCCCUGUCAGCAGCCCAGAUGGACCCACCAUGCAGUGGCUCUCCAACAGGAGACACUCUGGAUACAGAUGAGCGAUGGGUGGUGUCCACAGAGAAUAAACAAGACUUUCAGACUUUCUAAGCAAAAAGAAGAGUUUUGUUGGAGUCCAAGUGAGGACAGUUGCCCAGGAUACACAAUCUUCACAAAGAAGAAAGUGCUUCCCUCUAGCAAAGGAACAUUUAGUGCAGGGCUAUAUACAUUUUUUAUAUAAAACUCAUUAGACAAAGAACAUUUCUAAGAGUUGCAGACCUUAUCUUAAGUUUCUAGUAUAGGCAGGGAUGUGUGACUUUAAUCUUAUGGGAACCAGGGAAAUUUCUUACUUUUUCUUAUCUUUGUGUUCAGAAUGCUCCUUUUUGGUUAUUUUCUUUAAUGAUGCAGAUGUACAAUGUGUGCUUGGGGCAGGAAUAGAGCACAAGUUUUGAAGUUUUGCCGAGUCAUUUUGAGCUUGGUAGAUGUUGAACCGUAGCUUCCCUGGGAGCCCAGGAGCAGGGCCCACAAACAUUAAAGCUAAACACGUCCUUUAUGAGUGGAGGUGUUUUGAAGAGAUCCCAGGGCAUGUCAGGUGUGGCCUUUCCUGGAGGUGGGCCCAGAGGAGCACCAGGUGCCUCAGGAUGCCAACACAGAGUGGUGCUCCCCAAGGAUCUGUGAGUCUGUGUUGGGUUCUCCUAAGGGAACACAAAACCAGACCCAUUUGUCCUAAAAUAUGAGGCUCCCAUGCUGAAACUGAGUGCUAAGGGACACAGAGCAUGCUGACUUGACCCUGGGCAGGUGAUGGAUGUGAGGGGCAGGUGUGAGAGGUCAUCAACAGACAGGGCUCACCUGGAGGACCUCUGCCUACAGAUGGUGACCCCAUCACUGACGUGGGCCUGCACCCAAGCCCCCCGCCCCCGGCAGUUUCUCAUGGUUGCUUCGGGGCACUGUCCUUUCUGAUUGGGAAGGAGACCAGAGUAUCUCCAGUCAACCCACUGGGAAAAGCCAGCUCCUGAAGCCAGAAGCUCAGGAAAUUCCCACCGUGAAUGACAGGUGCACCACGUUAGAAUUUCUAUUUGCAGAUUUAAUUAGAAACUAGUUUGUGACGCAAAUUAUGUGGUGCCUAGGAAGGAACAGUGUAGAGGAACAAGGAUCGACCUGCUUCAACGCUGAAAUCCAUGAUAUGUGGGUCUUCAUGGCCGUCUACGCAAAGCCUUAUCUGUUUCGGUCUUACAGAAUCAUGCUUUACUCCUAAUUCCACUGACAAUAUUCUACUUAAAGAAAUGUCUAAACAAACCACAUGGCAAUAUGAUUGACUAUGACUUCCUACCGACAGACCAAGUACAGAGCAAUUGCCCAAUGCCUUCAUCGGUCAUCGGAAACCCUAAUAGAAAAUCUCAAGUCAAUUUUCAAGCCUUUAUGGGCGCGGUGGGUACAGAGGCAAUGCUAGCCAAAGAUAUCGGAACUCCUGGGACCAGGGUUGAAAAUAAAGCUCUAUAAAAAAUGCCAUCACUCUAGAAGCCAAAGCGGAAACAUUGCCAUCUUGCUCACCAGCCGGGCCAUUCCUUCCAGAGCUCUCUCUGGGUUGUGUGUCUCUGCAUCUCUGUAGGUUGUGAUUCACGCCUGGGGCUGAGGCUCGGGGCUGAGUCACCUCCAGGAUGUGGGGGAGGGUGAGGCUGGGUGAUAAGGGCAGAAUGCCCCUGGCUGAAGCCAAUUUUUCCUAAUUGCUAUCUUCCCCAACCCCAUUUAAAGAUGCAAUGAAGGUGAUUACAGAAACCUCUUUAAGGUAAACCUAAAUUAAUGGGUUUAUUUAAACUCAUAAUGAACUUUAAACUCUCCAAACCGGUGAGCUCCGGGGCUGGAAUCACUAAUUGCAGCGUUGGUGGGAGCUGGGGACCAGUUGCUGGGCCUGGCAGCUGAGUGCUUAGCUGGGGGGGACAGUCCAUUCAUUAUCCGGGUUUCUGGGAAACAGUGACCAAUUACUCCAUCUGCUCAGCAUUUCUCUUCCCCAAACAGACAAAUUAAGCCCUCGACCAGAGUCCCAAACAUCAAGUCCUCUGGGAGCUAGGCUGCCCCUACGCAGAGAGGCUCCAAAUGUAAAAGAAAUCAGAAAGAGGUAUCUCCGUGGAAGGGUUGUGGGGAGGCCCGAGGCUUGUCGGCUGGGAACAAGGCCAGAAUGCUCCCUUUUGCUGAAAGAGAUUUUCUCGUGCCCGUGGCCAAGCUGCGGACACUCUGGAGGACCCCCAGUGGGGCUGGUGUCCUGGGCCCUGUGCGGGUACAGGUGGGGAUCUGCCUCAUUUAUGCUCAGUGACUUCCACUCAGAGCAAGGAUGCUUCAUUCCCUUGAGGAUGUCCUGCCCCACUUGUACACGCAAGUGUUCUUAAUAUUCUCCAAUGCUCUCAAGCCUACGGACACGGUCUUUCACCUUCCUGGGAUGGACCUCUCUCUCGCCUGCUUCGUUUCUCAGAGGAUUUGGGUCAAGGACAAUUUGCUUUCCUGCCUCUUUCCUUCAGACUGCUCUCCCCAAACUGGCCCCACCCAUUCUAGACCCUGAGGUCACCACCGUGUCUCUUGCCCAAAGGAGCGCGACCAUCCAGUUUCCAGAGGGGCCUUUGCUCUGUGUCUGCCUGCACGGCUGGGCAUGUGACAGGCGUGCAAUAAACUGGCAGAAUGAACCUCGCUGGCUUACUCAGGCAAUACAUCAUCAAGAGGCUUAAGAAUGCUAGAUUUUUCUGGGCCCAGGGCAUAUUCUGAAGUUUCAUGUGUCAAGAAAUAAGGACAGAGCUGGGAAUAACUUAAUCAUCUGUCCAAAGAACUCACAGCCUGACACAGCUCGGAGUCCCCAGUGCGUUCUUGGUUCCCAUCACCUCGCAGGUGCCUGCGUGUGCUGACUGGCGGGCCAUCGAGAUUAAUAAAUACAAAGGCUUUUGCUGAUGUGCAGGUACAGAAAAGUCACCUGCAGCUGCUCUGUCGUGACUGAUUAAUUAGGAAAAGACUCCGUGGUGCUAAUUGGCGGUUGAGAAUUUUUGGAGUUUUAACAUUCAUGGUAUGCAAACGGAUCAAUGUCUAACAAUAUCUAACAAGAUCAUUUGAAAGUGAGAUUCUCCUGAGAAGUGCAAUCAUGGUUUGGGGAAGCUGUGAGGACCCUCCGUGUUGUACAUACUCGUGUCAAUCAACACAAAGUUUGUUAGCAAUUGUACUAAUGUUUUUCAGCAAAUGGAGACACCGGCCAAUGAAUAUGCAUUAAAUGUAAUUCUAUCUACCUGUUGCCCUCAAUCCCAGAAGCAAGGACCAUUACAUUGCAGAAGUUUGAUGAACGUUGUCUCCAGCUCAUAAGACUUGGAAAUGAGUGAGUUUGCCCAGUUUGGGGGAAAGAGGCCCACGUGAGGCUCAGUGCUUUCUCAGUUUCCACGUGGAAAGCUCCAAAUUGAAAUCCAUACCUCUAGGGAGUGAGAUAAAAAAAAAAGAAAGAAAGAAAGAAAGAAAAAGAACUGUUGGGCCCCAAAGGGACCAUUUCCCAUCAUAAUGAGAAUUUUAAAUGGCGGGUUUAAAUUCUUUGAAAAGCCUUUCAGAAAUGGGUGUGCAAGUGAUGGCUCCUGAAUUACCAGCAGAGAUGCAAUUAAAUUAGAGACAGAACAUGUCACUCCAGGUUCCCAGCCUGAAGACCCUUUCCCUUGUCCUGGGAGGAGGGAGCACCCAUGGCACACACAGCCCGGGAACCCAAGGGAAGGGCCCUUCCAGUCACCCCAGCUGCUGCAUUUGAAUCCAGAAGGGAAGGACACACCAUGAGAGAGCCAGAAAGCCGCAUGGCAUUUCUUCCCGAUGCACCCACCUCUUCCUCACCUGGACACAAGCUAGCUAAACCCGGGGUAGGAGGCUGUCCAAAUGUUAGCAGAAACCUCCCAACUGCACCCACAUGCAUGGGUAGUUCUAACAACCGUUCCCUGAGCAUGUACAGGUGCAGGGCUCCCUACGUGCCCGACGUAGGUCACCGGCUUACAUCGUCAGACUCUCUGGGGCAGCGCAUGCGGUCAGCUCCCCAUGUUCCUGGGAGAUGGGGAAGUGGCCAGAUUUGAGAAUGUGGUACUUGAAGGAGCUGGAGGCAGCCUGCCUCCUGGGUUAGCUUCUGGCCUCCAUCAAUCCCCAGCUGUGCAGGUGGGUGACCUUCUGAGCUUCCUUUACUUCCCCUGUAAAAUGGAGAUAAUAAGAUCACCUGUCCCGUGGGAUUGUUGUGAGGAUUGAAUGACCUCAUCCUUGCCUUGCACGGCCUGGAAAAAGCACCUGCUGUUAUUCCAAAGGUUACAUUAUUUGGCCAUUCCAAGUAAGCAAUGGGGGAAGUUGAGGUUCCAAGCGAUGUGUUCACCUCCUGGAUGAUCUCCGUAUUAGGCUGAGAAGUGGGAGGAGGGGUUGUUUUGAUUUAAACACACGUGGUGAGAGAAAUGUAGCUUCUCUGAGUAGCCUCAGGGACAUCGGUUGUUUUUCACCCUGCGAGGCCCAAAGCUGGGGCCAGAAACAUGGUAGGUAGGGCUGGCUCAAUAAAUGUUCAGGAAUCCAGCCCAGGCCAUCCUCCUUAGUGGGAUGUACAAGGCUCCCAGUAAGCCAGCCUCGCCUGGACUCCCAUAGUCACGGUCACCCAGCGCCCCGUUUAUUCUGCCCAGACAGGUGGCAGGUCCUAGUGCACAACAGAACAAUGGCCCCCAAGGUCAGCUCCUGAUCCCUGGGAUCUAGAAAUGUUACUGGAUUUGAGAAAAUGGUCUUUGUUGAUGUAAAUAACUUAAGAACCUUGAGACAGAGACGUUAUCCUGAGUCAUCUAAGUGGGUCCAAAUGCCUCCACAUGGGCCCUUACAGGACGCGGGCAGAGGGGCAUCUGACACAUGCAUGGAGGACAAGGCCUUAAGACCACGGACACAGAGAGCAGAGCAACACAGCCAUAAGGUAAGGGCCGCUGGCAGCCACCAGGACACAGAAGACAUAGGACACGUUCUCUCCUAGAGCCUCCGGAGGGCACGUGGCCCUGCAGACAAACUGAGUUUGGACUUCUGGCCUCUGGAAAUGUAAGAGAAUAAUUGUGUCUUCUUUAAAGCUGCUCAGUUGCUUACGGCAGCCACGGGAGCUCACACACACGGGUCUUUACACCCCCUGCCUGUGAACACGUUGCUUUCUUCUACCCGUAGGACACUGUCCACCUUCGUGUGUCUAAGUGAUGCCUACAAGGCCCUUGAGGCUCCCCUUCCUCCAGGAAGCCUGCUGGGACCAUGCCUCCUGGUCCUCACCCCUCCCACAGCACCCGCACUGACACAGCCUCUUUGCUUGUUUUUCUCCCCAACUAGACUAGGGGCUCCUCGAGGACGGGGGUCGUCCUCUCUGCCAGUGUCUGACCUAGGGCUGUGGAUGAACAAGUGCAUUCUCUCAUUCCUACUAAAAGUCCCCCACAAGGCUGAGCAUGCUGCCAUUGAAGAAAGGAACAUGGAGACGUCAGGAGUCAGCACUUCUGCUGCUCUGGAGUGUAGCAGGGAGGUUAGGUUUCCUGUAGCGUCUGCAGAUGGGUCCUCAAAGCCACCGCGCACGCGGAAGACAGGCUGGGACAUCCCACAAGGGCAACGAUGUUGGCUGUGGGAUUCCUGGAGAAGCACGGACCUGUCUCCUAAGACGAGAGCCUAGUGCUUUGCACAGAGACUUAGAUGCAGAGCAGUGAGACUUCACAGGAACUCUGUCUUGUGCUGAGGAAUAAAAGGAACAUCCCCAUCUGCGUGGAGGCUGCGGGAAUGGGCGGAGGAUGACCCUCACCAUUGAGGUCACACAUUGAAUUAGGACUUGGAUGAGCCACUCUGUGCCUUGGGUGAGGUCACUCAAAUGCCCUGCCUCUGAAUGAGGGCCUUGAACUCGGUGGUGCUUUCGCAUCCUUUCAACUCUAAAAUAAGAUGACAUUUAACAGGAGCCCUGUGCACUGACAGAACUGGAGUGGCCGUCAGUGGAACAGCCCCGUAUUGUUGACAGAUCUGGCCAGAUGCCAGAGAUGCAUGGCCUCGCCUCUGAGUGUCCUUGAAGGCCAGCCUCUGGACAAGGGACAGCAGUGUGUCCAAGCCCGUCGGGUGUGGCUUCCUGUCACGGCACAGAAAAAGACCCUUGUCUGCACUCGCCACUGCUCUGCCUCCAGGGCACUCGCUCGCGCUCUGACCACGCAUCUGAAUUCCACGCGGGGGCUGGGGUGGAAGGAGGAUGUCUAGGACACAUCAGAACGUGGUACCUGGGAUCUUGUUAGGUAGGAACCGGGGUUUGGUCUCCUCGGCCAGGCUUCAUCCUUCCUCGGCUCUGGGCUCUGCGGAUCCUUGGGUGCUGUUCAGAUGCCAUUGGCAGCAGGUGCAGAAGCACCUCUGUUCUCUCUGUGGAGCUGUCCAGUCAGUCAAGACCCUCUGUUUCCGUUGGCCGAGGUAAGGUGUGGUGCCCCAAGCGCAUCUCCUCCCUCUUCUCCUCUCUCAUAGACAUUCUCUUCAACUAAAACACCGCAAACCAAACCAAAGAAGUCGUGAUUCAUCCCAUCUAGACGCACCGUGAAGCAACCUCCAUUUGUCCUUCCUCCUGCUAGUGUGGGGCUGCUCUAUCUCCUCCAUUCUAAGACUUUACCUUGAUUCUACCAUUCCAUGUCGUUUUGUGAACCAGCUCUUUGCAGGGGCCAGGUUCUAGCCAGCCAGUCAGCUUCUGAGGGUUCCAUCCAAAGAACCCCAAUGGGCAGGAGACAGCGAAGCUACAAUUUUGCACUAAUUUCUUCUUAUUUCAAAUUGUGUCCUCUUUCUGCCACGCCACAGCUGCCUCCUUUAGAAGCUGCUCCAAGAGGAAGCAAGAUCUUUAUAAGAACAGCAUGGUCAGAAGCCAACACCAUCGGACAACUUACAAGGGGUCUCCCAAGAUCCCUCCAACUUUUGCUCAGACUUGGGCCCACGGGAGGGGAGACGUCUUGGAUUGGCUGUGCACCUGCCGGUCAGCCCACCAGAUGCGAACGUGGCCAGGGCGGGGGGCGCGGAGGAAUUGCACCCUUGGCUAUAACUCAACAGGAACGUUCCAUCCAGCAAUUUUGUAGGUUUUUUGUUCUUAGGAAACCUGAGAAGUCAUCUCACUUUGUGUGUUUUGGUAAAGGAACCAAGUUUAAUGUUAAGCCGUGUGUGUAUGUGCUCAUCGUUCCGGGGUGACGUUUCUCUGCGGCAGGUGGAUUUCCCUGGGGGUGGUUGCAGUAGAGACCGCCCCCAGGUAUCAGCAGUCCCGUCACUGUAGACACAAACAGGACAUCUACUUCAGAUUUCUCCCUGGGUUAUGCUCAUCCCCACUCAAAGCAAUAUCUGACUGACACCUUUCUCCAAACUCCACACCACAGACACACACCCACCUGCACACACGCACACACCUGAUUUUUCUGAUCACUCAUUUACUUUUUGGUGGGUUUCAUUGUCUAAAUGCUCCCAAUUAUUCCCUACAUGUAAUAAAGCUCCAAUCCACUCCUUUAGCCCCCAACUUCGAAGGAAAGAAAGCUAAACAAAACUUUUGAUUUGGCCGUGUUCCCCUCCUAAUUUCAUUAUGCAUAUUAAAUUUUUACUGUCGACAA